rnacentral:rRNA from 1 species
UCAAAUGAAUUGACGGGGGCCCGCACAAGCGGUGGAGCAUGUGGUUUAAUUCGAUGCAACGCGAAGAACCUUACCUGGUCUUGACAUAGUGAGAAUUGGGCAGAGAUGCCCGAGUGCCUUCGGGAAUUCACAUACAGGUGCUGCAUGGCUGUCGUCAGCUCGUGUUGUGAGAUGUUGGGUUAAGUCCCGCAACGAGCGCAACCCUUUUCCUUAUUUGCCAGCACUUCGGGUGGGAACUCUAAGGAUACUGCCAGUGACAAACUGGAGGAAGGCGGGGACGACGUCAAGUCAUCAUGGCCCUUACGACCAGGGCUACACACGUGCUACAAUGGUCGGUACAAAGGGUUGCUACACAGCGAUGUGAUGCUAAUCUCAAAAAGCCGAUCGUAGUCCGGAUUGGAGUCUGCAACUCGACUCCAUGAAGUCGGAAUCGCUAGUAAUCGCGGAUCAGAAUGCCGCGGUGAAUACGUUCCCGGGCCUUGUACACACCGCCCGUCACACCAUGGGAGUUUGUUGCACCAGAAGUAGGUAGUCUAACCUUAGGGGGGACGCUUACCACGGUGUGGCCGAUGAAUGGGGUGAAGUCGCAACAAGGUAAGC